rnacentral:rRNA from 1 species
GAUGAACGCUGGCGGCGUGCCUAAUACAUGCAAGUCGAGCGAACAGACGAGGAGCUUGCUCCUCUGACGUUAGCGGCGGACGGGCGAGUAACACGUGGAUAACCUACCUAUAAGACUGGGAUAACUUCGGGAAACCGGAGCUAAUACCGGAUAAUAUAUUGAACCGCAUGGUUCAAUAGUGAAAGACGGUUUUGCUGUCACUUAUAGCUGGAUCCGCGCCGCAUUAGCUAGUUGGUAAGGUAACGGCUUACCAAGGCGACGAGGCGUAGCCGACGUGAGAGGGUGAUCGGCCACACUGGAACUGAGACACGGUCCAGACUCCUACGGGAGGCAGCAGUAGGGAAUCUUCCGCAAUGGGCGAAAGCCUGACGGAGCAACGCCGCGUGAGUGAUGAAGGUCUUCGGAUCGUAAAACUCUGUUAUUAGGGAAGAACAAAUGUGUAAGUAACUAUGCACGUCUUGACGGUACCUAAUCAGAAAGCCACGGCUAACUACGUG